rnacentral:rRNA from 1 species
AUUGAACGCUGGCGGCAGGCCUAACACAUGCAAGUCGAGCGGAGCGGCGGACGGGUGAGUAAUGCCUAGGAAUCUGACUGGUAGUGGGGGAUAACGUCCGGAAACGGGCGCUAAUAUCGCAUACUAUCAGAUGAGCCUAGGUCGGAGUAGGUAGUUGGUGGGGUAAAGGCCUACCAAGGCGACGAUCCGUAACUGGUCUGAGAGGAUGAUCAGUCACACUGGAACUAAGACAAGGCACAGACUACUAAGGGAGGCGGCAGUGGGGGAGAUUGCACAAUGGGCGAAAGCCUGAUGCAGCGACACCGCGUGGGGGAUGAAGGCUUUCGGGUUGUAAACCUAUUUAGCUAUCGAACGGGUAGGUGGAGAAGAAGCGCCGGCUAACUACGUGCCAGCCGCCGCGGUAAUAC